GACGAACGCUGGCGGCGUGCCUAAUACAUGCAAGUAGGACGCAGUUGCGAACGGGUGAGUAACGCGUCGGUAACUGCCUAUUAGAGGGGGAUAACUAUUGGAAACGAUAGCUAAUACCGCAUACUCGUAGAUGGACCUGCGUUGUAUUAGCUAGUAGGUAGGGUAAUGGCCUACCUAGGCGACGAUACAUAGCCGCGCUGGAGGGGGGAUCGACAACACUGGGACUGAGACACGGCCCCGACUCCUACGGGAGGCAGCAGGUGGGAAACUUUGGCAAUGGGGGGAACCCUGACCGAGCAACGCCGCGUGAGGGAAGAAGGUGUUCGGAUCGUAAAGCUCUGUUGUUAAGGAAGCGGUACUUAACCAGAAAGGGCCGGCUAACUACGUGCCAGCAGCCGCGGUAAUAC
rnacentral:rRNA from 1 species